GGUUCGAAUCCCUGCAAUGGGGUGAGCUCCCAUUGCUCGGUCCCUGCUCCUGCCAACCUAGCAGUUCGAAAGCACAUCAAAGUGCAAGUAGAUAAAUAGGUACUGCUCCAGCGGGAAGGUAAACGGCGUUUCCGUGCGCUGCUCUGGUUCGCCAGAAGUGGCUUAGUCAUGCUGGCCACAUGACCUGGAAGCUGUAUGCCGGCUCCCUCGGU